GAUGUCGCGGGUGAGUGGUGUCGAGGCCUGUUGGGUCAGGGCGGUUCGCAGGUGCUGUCAGAGCUGGGCGGGGCAGCCGGGUCGUAGAGGCGGGCGCCAGUCGCGGUCGGUGGAGAGGGAUGAGGAUGUAGGAGGGACGGACGUGGCGGAAGCCGCGGGGACUGCGGGGGCGGAGUGCCUCUGGGGAGCCAGGGAGGCCUUUCCAGAGGCUCCUGGGGGAAGAAGAGGCGAAGCGAGAGUCCCCGGGGAAGCCCUACUCCACCCCCAGCCGGAGCCUGGGUUGUGCCUGCACGGACCAGAGCCCACAGUGCGAGUUGCUGUAGGCAACCAGCUAGGGUGGCCAACUUCUCCCGGUUGGCCCGAGAUGUUCUGGUUUUGGGACCACAGCGUCCCAGGCCUCCAGCCCACCACAGUGACCAUAUUGUGCGCCCCCUGCCCAUCUUCUCCCGCAGCUUCCCUAGAUUAGGCUUGGGAGGCAAGGGGAGGCCUCCUGACUUUUCUCACUGCCUUCGUUAAUAUAAAGAUGAAGGCACACUCCACAACUUCCUUCUGGCCAGGCCCAGACAUGUCUGUCCUUGUGAGAUAAAAGCUUCCAUGGGAGCCUUCCUUCCUAAUCAAGUCUCGUGGUGGAACAUCUGACCCUUUUCAAGAGGAAGGAUGAAAACUCUACAUAGGAACACGAUGUGAAUGGAAGAAACCUGUCAUUAUGCAAAUAGUACGGUAUUCCGAACAGACACUAAAAAUAGCUGUCAUCUCAAAGAAUCCAGUGCUUGUGUCACAGUAUGAGAAAGUAGAUGCUGGGGAACAGCGUUUAAUGAAUGAAGCAUUCCAGCCAGCCAGUGAUCUCUUUGGACCUUGCAUUCUCCAUCAGAUUGGAUCACCUCCCACCCUGAGGCCCCCCAAGACUUUGAACAGUUCUUCAGUCAUCCUUACAGAAAGAUACCCUCUCCAGACAAACGCAGUAUUUAUAUACGGUCCAUUGGAUCUCUAUGAAGCACCAGAAUUAUCAGUGAAGAAUAUAUUAAAUGGCUCACGGGCUACUGUAAAGCAUAUUUCUAUCGCUUGAGAGUAAAACUGCUAGAACCAGUUCCUGUUUCUACAACAAGGUGUUCCUUUAGAGUCAAUGAGAACACACAAAACCUACAAAUUCAUGCAGGGGACAUCCUGAAGUUCUUGAAAAAGAAGAAACCUGAAGAUGCCUUCUGUGUUGUGGGAAUAACAAUGAUUGAUCUUUACCCAAGAGACUUGUGGAAUUUUGUCUUUGGACAGGCCUCUUUGACAGAUGGCACUGGUGAGGUGGAUUGAUGAUGAAUCUUCUGGCACACCUGGAGCAACUCCAGAACACAGUCGUGAGGAUAAUGGGAAUUUACUGAAACCCGUGGAAGGAAGCCUUUAAGGAAUGGAAAGAGUGGAUAAUAAAAUGCCUGACUGUUCUCCAAAAAUAAGGACCUUCAAAUAGGAGUGAUUGAAAUAAAUGACUACUUGCAUGUUAUGCUUUCAUUUGGGUGGAAUACUUCAUCAGAAUAAACUAUUGAUCUUGUGCUGUGUCAAAGUAACAGACUAGAACCUUCUUUCAAGUACCUGAAUUGAAAUGAAACUCAUUUUGAAUAAUAAAAACUCUAGAAACUCUU
ensembl:lncRNA AMZ2P1 AMZ2 pseudogene 1